GUCUCAAUCCCCUUAAAAUCGGGUCAUCGGUGUAAU
rfam:Nitratiruptor tergarcus DSM 16512 genome assembly, contig: NitteDRAFT_scaffold1.1